UCCCGAACAGGGUUUCAGACCUAGACCAUAGUCACUGGGCAGGAGGCCGGCAAACGUUUGUGGUAAGGAGCGUUUGUCACAGUGUUGAGCUUGGCACUGUGCACGUGUAGUAUAGCAGGUAGGGGUGAGUCUGGCGCUGUGUACAUAAGGUAGAAUAGCAGGUUCAGGUAAAGCUGGUCUCAUGUCAUGGUUUAGUAGGUUUG